AACGAACGCUGGCGGCAUGCCUAACACAUGCAAGUCGAACGAAGCCUUCGGGCUUAGUGGCGCACGGGUGCGUAACACGUGGGAAUCUGCCCUUCGGUUCGGAAUAACAGUUAGAAAUGACUGCUAAUACCGGAUGAUGACGAAAGUCCAAAGAUUUAUCGCCGAAGGAUGAGCCCGCGUAGGAUUAGGUAGUUGGUAGGGUAAUGGCCUACCAAGCCGACGAUCCUUAGCUGGUCUGAGAGGAUGAUCAGCCACACUGGGACUGAGACACGGCCCAGACUCCUACGGGAGGCAGCAGUGGGGAAUAUUGGACAAUGGGCGAAAGCCUGAUCCAGCAAUGCCGCGUGAGUGAUGAAGGCCUAGGUGUAAAGCNCUUUACCAGGAUGAUAAUGACAGUACCUGGAGAAUAAGCUCCGGCUAACUCCGUGCCAGCAGCCGGGUAAAGUCUGUACU
rnacentral:rRNA from 1 species